CGAAGAACCUUACCAAGGCUUGACAUACACCGGUAACGCCCAGAGAUGGUGCCCCUUUGUGGUCGGUGUACAGGUGGUGCGAUGGUUGUCGUCAGCUCGUGUCGUGAGAUGUUGGGUUAAGUCCCGCAACGAGCGCAACCCUCGUCCUAUGUUGCCAGCGGGUCAUGCCGGGGACUCAUGGGAGACUGCCGGGGUCAACUCGGAGAAGUGGGGAUGACGUCAAAUCAUCAUGCCCCUUAUGUCUUGGGCUUCACGCAUGCUACAAUGGCCGGUACAAAGGGCUGCGAUACCGCGAGGUGGAGCGAAUCCCAGAAAGCCGGUCUCAGUUCGGAUUGGGGUCUGCAACUCGACCCCAUGAAGUCGGAGUCGCUAGUAAUCGCAGAUCAGCAACGCUGCGGUGAAUACGUUCCCGGGCCUU
rnacentral:rRNA from 1 species